rnacentral:rRNA from 1 species
ACGCUCGACACUACGGGGGCAGCAGUGGGGAAUAUUGCACAAUGGGGGAAACCCUGAUGCAGCGACGCCGCGUGAGCGAAGAAGUAUCUCGGUAUGUAAAGCUCUAUCAGCAGGGAAGAAAAUGACGGUACCUGACUAAGAAGCACCGGCUAAAUACGUGGCAGCAGCCGCGGUAAUCUGAGCGGGCUGGCAAGGC